rnacentral:rRNA from 1 species
UUGGAGGGCAAGUCUGGUGCCAGCAGCCGCGGUAAUUCCAGCUCCAAUAGCGUAUAUUAAAGUUGUUGCAGUUAAAAAGCUCGUAGUUGAACUUCGAGAUCAAUUGGUCGGUCAUGCCAUUAGGUUUGUACUGGCCAUAUUGGUUCUCACCUUCUAAUGAACCAUAAUGUCAUUCAUUUGAUGUUAUGGGGAAUUAGGACUGUUACCUUGAAAAAAUUAGAGUGUUUAAAGCAGGCUUACGCUUGAAUACAUUAGCAUGGAAUAAUGAAAUAGGACAUCGCAUUCUAUUUUGUUGGUUUCUAGGAUCGAUGUAAUGAUUAAUAGGGAUAGUUGGGGGCAUUAGUAUUCAAUUGUCAGAGGUGAAAUUCUUGGAUUUAUUGAAGACUAACUACUGCGAAAGCAUUUGCCAAGGAUGUUUUCAUUAAUCAAGAACGAAAGUUAGGGGAUCGAAGACGAUCAGAUACCGUCGUAGUCUUAACCAUAAACUAUGCCGACUAGGGAUCGGAUGAUGUUGAUUUUUUAAUGACUCAUUCGGCGCCUUACGGGAAAC